CCGUGGUAGGCGGGGAGCUAGCGGUGCCCUGUAAUUCGCAAUCCGCUUUAGCGAGGCUGAAUUCCUUUUCUGCUGUAUGACAGUGUAAGGUUUGCCUUAUGUAAGCGGUGUUGACCUUCGGAGUCCUCGCAACAGAUACCCAUCAGAUUGGUCAGGUCGGGAACGAAGCAGCCAUAAGUGGUCAUUUCUGUGUGUCGAAGGAUUGCUCUGAAUGAGCUUGCUGCAUGAGUAACACUUAUAUUUCGAUAUCAAUGAUAGGUUCACGG
rfam:Bacillus azotoformans LMG 9581 contig116, whole genome shotgun sequence.